rnacentral:tRNA from 1 species
AUUUUAAUAGCUUAAUUAAGAGCACAAUAUUGAAGAUAUUGAGGUGAUUUUUGAUCUUAGAAUA